AAGAAGUUAGUUAAAAUAUAACAUUAGUAUGUCAUACUAAAAUUAUUAAACAUUAAUACUUCUUU
rnacentral:tRNA from 1 species